CUUAUUUUUGAUAUUUUAUAAGCAGACUUGACUAUGAGAGUUAGUUUUAUUAAUCGCCAUCACAUUGCAUCUAUUAUUCAAUGUAUAUCUUAUCUUGUCUUUUUCAUCUAUAAUAAGAAAAAAGUAGGAACAAACUUCACAAUUUCUGUUCAUUGGUCCACUUCAACACAGCCCUACUCCAGGCCUAGGUCUUUGAUGAUGUCAUGAACAAAAAAAAGAUCACACCUUCAUUGCCAGUCUUCUAAAAUGAAUAGUACAGUAUCAUAUAUAUUUUUGUUCUGGUUGAUACAUGUUUGUCCUUAUUAAGAACAUUUGGCUUAAAAAUAAUUGAUAAAGAUAAUUUCUAAAAGUACUAAAUUUUUACUAACCAUGUGUAUAUGGGGUUGAUAAUUAGUAUAAAAUAGUACAUGUACUAGUAUACAAUAACCAAUACACAUGAAUGAGCUUUGUUUUGUUUGACCUACUGUUGACCUUAUGACCUUCCCUAACUAUUUUUGAAAAUAAUAUUCUUGUGCUCUGUUUUUCAAUGAUUGUAGAGAAUAUUGUGGUG
rnacentral:lncRNA from 1 species